GCCUCAUAGUGCAAUGGGUCAGUGUAUCUGGCUGUUAGCCAGAAGGUCGGUGGUUUGAGACCACACAGAGACA